CCUACGGGAGGCUGCAGUGGGGAAUAUUGCACAAUGGGCGCAAGCCUGAUGCAGCCAUGCCGCGUGUGUGAAGAAGGCCUUCGGGUUGUAAAGCACUUUCAGCGGGGAGGAAGGCGGUGAGGUUAAUAACCUCAUCGAUUGACGUUACCCGCAGAAGAAGCACCGGCUAACUCCGUGCCAGCAGCCGCGGUAAUACGGAGGGUGCAAGCGUUAAUCGGAAUUACUGGGCGUAAAGCGCACGCAGGCGGUCUGUCAAGUCGGAUGUGAAAUCCCCGGGCUCAACCUGGGAACUGCAUUCGAAACUGGCAGGCUAGAGUCUUGUAGAGGGGAGUAGAAUUCCAGGUGUAGCGGUGAAAUGCGUAGAGAUCUGGAGGAAUACCGGUGGCGAAGGCGGCCCCCUGGACAAAGACUGACGCUCAGGUGCGAAAGCGUGGGGAGCAAACAGGAUUAGAUACCCCAGUAGUC
rnacentral:rRNA from 1 species